rnacentral:lncRNA from 1 species
AGGCUUAAGGAGUUAGGGUUGGGGUCCUCCAAAUACAACCUCAGUGCUGGGAGAUGGAGUUGGAGAGCUUACGAGGAGGAGGAGGAGGAGUAGAAGGAGAAGGAGGAAGGUGGCUGCUGCUGCGGGGUCUCCCCACCUGAGCAAGGUAGAGAUGGAGAAAGAGAAGAUGCCUGCAAAGAAGGUGUGACUCAGCCAGAGUAUCUUGCUCUCGAGAUGCCCAGGGCCAAGCUGCAUCCCUCCAGUGCUGCCCAUCGGUGCUCUCAGCUGCACAUCAGCCUCCUUCAGCACAGAUAGACUGCUGCCUUGCAGUGCAGACCCAGAACAUCCUUCUAGCACAGCACAAAGAUGAUUUUCUUGGACAUGACAGGGCCAGUGGCAGUCAGGGUUGGGGACAGGUGAGCCAUGGUGGGUGGCAAGGGCUAGAGCCCUCAGAAACCUUCACAUCAAAAAACAUGAUGUUUGUGGGAACCCUGAGCGCGAGCAUCCACACAGACAUGGGAAGGGGAGCUCCUGAGCAGGUGCUUAAUUUUCUGCCACUGUUGAGAAUGGAAGAGAGAAUAAGUAAUGUACAUCUUUCAUUUGUGUCAAGAGCUGAAAAACUACCAGUGAGUGAACACAUCAACGGGACAGCAUUGCCCAUUCAUGGAUGCUGAACAUCAUACCCUGAAAUAUACUAAGUGACCCAAAUACAACUACGUGGAGAAACACCAGCAGAGAUCCUGCUCCACUCUGAUUUUUCUCCUCUGCAGUUUUUGAUGCUGUGCUUUUUUAAAAUCAUGCUCCCCUGAGUAAUGACCUGUGGGCAGCAGGUGCAGUGCAGCCUCCCAGGGAAUUACUACAGUGGGUGAGGAAAGGGUUUCUCCAAGCUAGCAGCUUCCCCUCCAGUUUUCCAUUGGCCAUCCCCACCACAUGUGCCCGCAUGGAGCAGAUCCCUGCCAGGCUGGAAGCAAGAGAAGCAAACCUUAAGACGGUGCUGGUGGCGAGGCUAGGAGAGCUGGCUGCAGCAUACACGGGCAGCUGAGCAGGGGAACAAUGGGCAGCCCCAGCUCACCUCCUGCCACCUGCCAC